GGCCCACUCGUUCCAGAUACAGAGAUAGGAGAUAAUAUUGAUGAGGAAACCACAAAUCAACAAGGUGAAAAAUCUGGGAAAAAAGGAAAACGCCCCAAAAAGAAAAAUGUGGAGGUUGAAGAACCUGUUGUUGUUGUAAUGUUAUUUGUAAGGCAUAUCCAACAGCAAAUGAGAAACAUUGGAUUGAUGGUAAUUACGAUGAUAUCCCCUAAAACUGAAAAGCAAAAAACAGAGAAGCAAGUGGUGCCAGUGGUGAUAAUGGCACAGGGCCAGCAGCAAGCAGUGAUGAAUCUGCUGAAAAUGGUGUGCGUGCAGACGGCGGUGAGCCAUCUGCAGCUGGCAAGCGUUCAGGCCGUGCACGACAAGGCCCAUUGAUCGAGGAGACAGUUAGUGGAUGAGUCGGUGCAUUGAGGUUAAUUAUUUAAAUGAGGAACCACAGAACCAAUCAUGUUCUUCAUACAACAACUUGUAACACUCGUGUGUAGACACACACUCUUACAUAAUUUGAAGAUGAAGACAAUCUGAGCUGACUCUAAAGGAUGACCAGUUUCUUCACAUUGAAGACUGAGAUCAUGUCAUAUGAUAAUUUCUUCCACUGACCAAGGAACUGUCAGUCCUGAGUGGGAAAUCUUAUUUAGUGUAUUUUUCUUUCAAGAGUAACUGAGUGAACAGAGGCAAACGAAAGCCUCAGUGAUGACAAUCUUAUGAGCUGUGCCAAGAUUUCAACUUUGCAAACUCUGAAGUUGAAGAGGGCCACUCCAUAACAAGACAGUCGAGCUACAUGUUAACCAAGAAGACUUCAUCAACUUCAAAAUAUAUGCAUUCUGCACUCUUACAUUCUUUACAAACUUGGAUUACACAGACACUGACAUCAAAUCUGCAUUUUCACAUGUAUUUUACAAUAAUAAAAUACAUGAUAUCAACAGAAAUGCAGAAACAAGAUGCAGAGCUGUGAUGAUUGUUUAAAAAGGUGAGGUAAGUGUGUACACACUUGGAUUUACAUUCAAGUGCGUAGACCAUGUAUUCAUCCACACAUGAAUGCAUGAAUUCCUUGUAAUUGUUGAUCCACAAUUACAAAAAAACGUGAAACAGCUUAACAAUAACAACCUGUAUGCAGAUGUAAGCUGCAGCUGUAGAACAUGUUCAUCCACUAACUUCCUGGUUGAUAAAU